CAGGUCUUUUGUUUCACAGGUUACACUUCCUACAAGGAUGUGAGUAGCAAGUCCCUUCACUUCUGUCACCUAUGAGGGAAAAAAACAGGACAUCCAUGAUCAUGCAAGAAUAAAUUACAAGAGUGGACUAUGAAAACCAUGCUGCGGCUGCAAUGAGGAUCUGGGUGUGGGGCUGGAAACCAGCUGCUGUGAUGUGCUAAUCUCAGCAGUGGCCCCAAUUCAUGCCAUGCCUGGCAUGCUUCUCCCCUCAGUUCCAGUGUCAACAUCUGCCACACCAGAAGUGCUACCUUGUGAGUGCCACGCUACACUGAGGUGGUCAGUGAACUAAGAAGAAGGACCCUGUUGCACCCCUGUCUCACAGGACCCGUCCAUUCACCACUGCCUUCCUUCCGGGGGUGCUAACACCACUGCUUUGGGAAACACAUGGAGAAGCUAAGCCAGCUUAAAAUCACCUGACAAAAAAAAUGAACAAAAAUAUUAUUUUCCCAUUUAUUUUAAAAGCAGAACCUGGCACACCUCAUACCCUCAGUUCAUUUCACCCUGCAUCUGC